rnacentral:rRNA from 1 species
AUUGAACGCUGGCGGCAGGCCUAACACAUGCAAGUCGAGCGGAUGAAGGUAGCUUGCUACCGGAUUCAGCGGCGGACGGGUGAGUAAUGCCUAGGAAUCUGCCCGGUAAUGGGGAUAACGUUUCGAAAGGACGCUAAUACCGCAUACGUCCUACGGGAGAAAGCAGGGGACCUUCGGGCCUUGCGUUAUCGGAUGAGCCUAGGUCGGAUUAGCUAGUUGGUGAGGUAAUGGCUCACCAAGGCGACGAUCCGUAACUGGUCUGAGAGGAUGAUCAGUCACACUGGAACUGAGACACGGUCCAGACUCCUACGGGAGGCAGCAGUGGGGAAUAUUGCGCAAUGGGCGAAAGCCUGACGCAGCCACGCCGCGUGAGCGAUGAAGGUCUUCGGAUCGUAAAGCUCUGUGGGGGGAGAAGAAGAAAGCCGGUGAAGAGCCGGCCCUGACGGUAUCCCCUUAGCAAGCACCGGCUAACUCCGUGCCAGCAGCCGCGGUAAU